CACCGUUUUGGCUAAAAAUCUUCUUUACUGUUCUACUGAAGAAAAAAAGUCACCUACAUCUUGAAUGACCUAAAAGUGAGUAAAUUAACAGCACAUUUUCAAUUUUGGGUGAACUAUCUCUUUAAUGUGAUUUAUUAUUAAUAGUAAUUUACUCCAUUGUUUCCUACCAUUGUACAUGAAAUGGAUAAACUUCUGGAUCUUCUUCCUUUCUCAUAAAAGAGCUUGGAGAGCAUGUUGUAGAAGCGCCAAAUGGUCCCGGGACGAAAGGCGAAGACCAGCCUCUGAAAUCUCCCAGUGAUGCUGAGAAUGAUGAAGACGAUUAUGUAAAUGAUGAGAUAGGACAGCAAUAUAAUGUAGCACCAUCAGAUAAUAAUGGUGCCGAGGAAAAAGGAAACACAGACAAGCUAGAGCUUGGAGAUCAGGAUGUAGAAGCGCCAAACGAGCCUCUGAAAUCUCCCAGUGAUGCUGAGAAUGAUGAAGACGAUUAUGUAAAUGAUGAGAUAGGUAAGAUAAUAGCAUAUUAAUGAGUGUGUGGAAAAAUACAGCCUGAUUUGUCUUAUUCAAAAUAACGGUUGAGCAUUCAUACUGUAUUGUGUUCAUUUCAGUAUCAGUCAAUUAAUCUAGAGCAACAUCAAUCGCUUUGCUUUUCACACUCUAAAAAAUUCAGGGCUAAAAACAAC
rnacentral:lncRNA from 1 species